rnacentral:rRNA from 1 species
UACCAGCACCCCGAGUGGUCGGGACGAUUAUUGGGCCUAAAGCAUCCGUAGCCGGUCCUGCAAGUCUUCCGUUAAAUCCACCUGCUUAACAGAUGGGCUGCGGAAGAUACUAUGGAGCUAGGAGGCGGGAGAGGCAAGCGGUACUCGAUGGGUAGGGGUAAAAUCCGUUGAUCCAUUGAAGACCACCAGUGGCGAAGGCGGCUUGCCAGAACGCGCUCGACGGUGAGGGAUGAAAGCUGGGGGAGCAAACCGG